GAUGAACGCUGGCGGCGUGCCUAAUACAUGCAAGUCGAGCGAACAGACGAGGAGCUUGCUCCUCUGAUGUUAGCGGCGGACGGGUGAGUAACACGUGGAUAACCUACCUAUAAGACUGGGAUAACUUCGGGAAACCGGAGCUAAUACCGGAUAACAUGUUGAACCGCAUGGUUCGACAGUGAAAGACGGUCUUGCUGUCACUUAUAGAUGGAUCCGCGCCGCAUUAGCUAGUUGGUAAGGUAACGGCUUACCAAGGCAACGAUGCGUAGCCGACCUGAGAGGGUGAUCGGCCACACUGGAACUGAGACACGGUCCAGACUCCUACGGGAGGCAGCAGUAGGGAAUCUUCCGCAAUGGGCGAAAGCCUGACGGAGCAACGCCGCGUGAGUGAAGAAGGUCUUCGGAUCGUAAAACUCUGUUAUUAGGGAAGAACAAAUGUGUAAGUAACUAUGCACGUCUUGACGGUACCUAAUCAGAAAGCCACGGCUAACUACGUG
rnacentral:rRNA from 1 species